AACCAUUCACCUCUAAUAAAAUAAAAGAAAAAAUAAAAUUGGUUAUUAACAUGAUUUUCCUGACCUAACUGAUAGCUAUCUACAAGCUACAACAAGAAAUCAGGAGAGAAAAGUUUCAACAGUUCAUCACAGAAAACAUGAGAAAAGUUUCAGGCUUUUCAACUUUUAAUCAGCAUAGCAAUGAAGAAUCUCAUUGAUUUAUCCUAAUAUUUUUACCUUAUCCAAACAGUUCCCCAUAUAAUUGUUCAAAAGCCACAAAUUCUGAAGUUUGAGAGGAAAUACCACCAAUUUCUGCAGAACAAAUUUCUGCAAGGCCAUAAAAAUAAAAAGGAAUUAAGAGAGGUACAGAGAACAAUAGCCAACUCAAAUGAAUGUAACACUUUAUUGGUUGGCUUUGAAUUGAUGAGUUACCCCAAGGCCAUAGUGAAAGCUUAUAUUAUUGGAUGACUAAGCAGGAGCAAAAAUCAAGUGAAGGAAUGGAGCUAAACCAAAAUAAAUAUAAAAACAAUGUGCACAAGGGAUUCCCCAUCAUCUAUGGACUAGUGGCAGCUGGGGUUUCAUAAACAGUACAAAUCAUUGUUGUCAGAAUGAUGCAAGAAAUGGAAAUGGAACCUUUCUUAUUACUCAAACAGUCACACAUGUCUAGCUUCCAAAUAUAUAUACUAGCAAAUAAACUCCUAUGUUUGUUUCUUUGAUCAAUGACAAUAAAGAAGGAGAUAGAAAACUACAAGAAAGGUAACAUAAGACAAACUAGUAGUGAAAUGACAAUUAUAAAAAUUUUCUAACACUUUUGACCCCAAUGGGGGUGCUGGUGCUAAUUUAGAUGAUGAACCAAUGGAUAAUAUACACUUACUAAACUUGAAAGUGUUAAGAGAAGGUUCACCUUCAUCAUUAUUUCCAAGUCUCUCAGAGCUUUGUUGGUUAGAUCUCUCUUAUUGUGAAUCCCUCACAUCCCUUCCAAUUAACCUUUUUAAGUUGUAAUGGCUAAGAAAACUAUAUCUUCGUGGCUGCUCAAAUCUCGAGAAGCUCCCUGAGAUAGAAGAGGAUAUGAAAAAUUUAAUGGUGCUCAUCUUAGAUGAAUCAAGAGUACAAGAAUUACCUUCAACAAUGCAAAAUUUGGUAGGUCUUG
rnacentral:lncRNA from 1 species